rnacentral:rRNA from 1 species
AACUGCGAGUGAAGCGGGAAAAGCUCAAAUUUAAAAUCUGGCGGUCCUUGCGGCUGUCCGAGUUGUAAUCUAGAGAAGUGCUAUCCGCGCUGGACCGUGUACAAGUCUCCUGGAAUGGAGCGUCAUAGAGGGUGAGAAUCCCGUCUUUGACACGGACUGCCAGGGCUUAUGUGAUACGCUCUCGAAGAGUCGAGUUGUUUGGGAAUGCAGCUCAAAAUGGGUGGUAAAUUCCAUCUAAAGCUAAAUAUUGGCGAGAGACCGAUAGCGAACAAGUACCGUGAGGGAAAGAUGAAAAGAACUUUGGAAAGAGAGUUAAACAGUACGUGAAAUUGUUGAAAGGGAAACGCUUGAAGUCAGUCGCGUCGUCCGGGGAUCAACCUUGCAUUUCUUUUGCUGGGCGUACUUUCCGGUUGACGGGUCAGCAUCAAUUUUGACCGUUGGAUAAAGGCUUCGGGAAUGUGGCAUCCUCGGAUGUGUUAUAGCCCUUGGUCGCAUACAACG